rnacentral:rRNA from 1 species
AUGCGGCUAGGGUUAUGGAUUUGGGGGGAAAUAGGAUUUUUUUUACACACAUCGAUUGAAGCCGAUUUGUUCUCCUUUCAGCUUCCUAGGACGGUGUACUGCAAGCAAUGGAGCGGAGUGGCUUCAGAUCUGCGUUUUGUGUGCCAGCACAAAUCCUCUUGUGAGAAGUUUGUGGCAUUUGAGUCAGUGGAUAGUGGCAGGAGGUUUUUGGCUUGCGCGAAGAAGGUUGGUGGUGUCAAAUUGGUAGAUUUAGCAAUGAAAUUACUUGUGAGAUUCUGUAGUGUACCAUUUUUUGGCAUGAUGAAGUGCAAUUUGCUUAUAUUUUGA